GGUGGUAUAGAUCAGCGGUAGAGCGCAUGCUUAGCAUGCAUGAGGUCCUGGGUUCAAUCUCCAGUAGUACCA
rnacentral:tRNA from 1 species